UGUUAAGGCCUCUUGGAAGCUCAAUAAUUAUUAAUGGGCCUUACUUGGGAGCCCAACUAAAAUUUUCAUGUGUGAUAUUUAGUCCCACAUUGGAAACCAAAAGGGUGUUUGUGGUUUUUAUAUAAUCUUUUGUUAUCAAGCUAGUUGCUCGAAAAAAAAAUGAGAGUAAUGCUCUCGUUUAAAUACACGCACAGCACGAGCCGAGCCGAGCCGAGCCAGGCCGGGCCGGCGGCAGCGCAUGCGGUCCUUACACCCGGUUUAUUUUAUUUUAUUUUUAUAUUUUCGGUUUUAUCUUUAUUUUAAUUCUUAUCUUUAUCUUUAUCCUAAUCCUAAUCUUUAUCCGUAUAAUCUUAGGCUUAUCUUGUUCUACACGGAUUUCAUGCGUUGAAGCAAGAUUCUCGCCUUGGUUAUAAAUAUUGGGC
rnacentral:lncRNA from 1 species